rnacentral:rRNA from 1 species
CUAUCAGUUAGUAGCGGGGUAACGGCCCACCUAGCCUACGACGGGUACGGGCCCUGAGAGGGGGAGCCCGGAGAUGGGCACUGAGACAAGGGUCUAGGCCCUAAGGGGCGCAGCAGGCGCGAAGAUUCCGCAAUGCCCGAAAGGGCGACGGAGUGAACCCGAGUGCCACCCGCUGAGGGUGGCUGUUCCCCUGUGUAAAAAGCAGGGGGCAGGAAGGGGAGGGCAAGGCUGGUGGCAGCCGCCGCGGUAAAACCAGCUCCCCGAGGGGUUCCCACGCAUACUGGGCCUAAAGCGUCCGUAGCCGGCCCUGUAAGUCUGCAGUUAAAUCCGCCUGUAGACAGGCGGGUUGCUGCAGAUACCGCAGGGCUAGGGAGCGGGAGGAGCCGGGGGUAUUCCCGGGGGAGCGGUAAAAUGCGUAGAUCCCGGGAGGACCACCAGUGGCGAAGGCGCCCGGCUUGAACGCGUCCGACGGUGAGGGACGAAAGCUGGGGGAGCAAACCGGAUUAGAUACCCGGGUAGUCCCAGCCGUAAACGAUGCCGGCUAGGUGCUGGCCAAGGUUUCGGCCUUGGCCAGUGUCGAAGCGAAGGCAUUAAGCCGGCCGCCUGAGGAGUACGGCCGCAAGGCUGAAACUUGAAGGAAUUGACGGGGGGGCACCACAAGGGGUGAAUGCCUGCGGCUUAAUUGGACUCAACGCCGGGAAUCUUACCGGGGGCGACAGCAGGAUGAAGGUCAGGCUGAAGACCUUACCAGACGCGCUGAGGGGUGGUGCAUGGCCGUCGCCAGCUCGUGCCGUGAGGUGUCCUGUUAAGUCAGGCAACGAGCGAGACCCCCGCCCCUAGUUGCCAGCGGCCUCCUUCGGGAGGGACCGGGCAAACUAGGGGGACCGCCUCCGAAGAGGAGGAGGAAGGUGGGGGCUACGGCAGGUCAGUAUGCCCCUAAUCCCCCGGGCCGCACGCGGGCUGCAAUGGGCGGGACAGCGGGAUG